rnacentral:rRNA from 1 species
AACGAACGCUGGCGGCAUGCCUAACACAUGCAAGUCGAACGAGACCUUCGGGUCUAGUGGCGCACGGGUGCGUAACGCGUGGGAACCUGCCCUUAGGUUCGGAAUAACUCCCCGAAAGGGGUGCUAAUACCGGAUAAUGUCUUCGGACCAAAGAUUUAUCGCCUUUGGAUGGGCCCGCGUUGGAUUAGCUAGUUGGUAGGGUAAAAGCCUACCAAGGCGACGAUCCAUAGCUGGUCUGAGAGGAUGAUCAGCCACACUGGGACUGAGACACGGCCCAGACUACUACGGGAGGCAGCAGUGGGGAAUAUUGGACAAUGGGCGAAAUCCUGAUCCAGCAAUGCCGCGUGAGUGAUGAAGGCCUUAGGGUUGUAAAGCUCUUUUACCCGGGAUGAUAAUGACAGUACCGGGAGAAUAAGCUCCGGCUAACUCCGUG